rnacentral:rRNA from 1 species
CGCCUGGGGAGUACGGCCGCAAGGUUAAAACUCAAAUGAAUUGACGGGGGCCCGCACAAGCGGUGGAGCAUGUGGUUUAAUUCGACGCAACACGAAGAACCUUACCUGGCCUUGACAUGCAGAGAACUUUCCAGAGAUGGAUUGGUGCCUUCGGGAACUCUGACACAGGUGCUGCGUGGCCGUCGUCAGCUCGUGUCGUGAGAUGUUGGGUUAAGUCCCGUAACGAGCGCAACCCCUAUCCCUAGUUGCUAGCAGUUCGGCUGAGAACUCUAGGGAGACUGCCGGUGACAAACCGGAGGAAGGUGGGGAUGACGUCAGGUCAUCAUGGCCCUUACGGCCAGGGCUACACACGUGCUACAAUGGUGCGCACAGAGGGCUGCAAACCCGCGAGGGGGAGCCAAUCUCACAAAACGCAUCGUAGUCCGGAUCGCAGUCUGCAACUCGACUGCGUGAAGUCGGAAUCGCUAGUAAUCGUGAAUCAGAAUGUCGCGGUGAAUACGUUCCCGGGCCUUGUACACACCGCCCGUCACACCAUGGGAGUGGAUUGCACCAGAAGUGGUUAGUCUAACCUUCGGGAGGACGAUCACCACGGUGUGGUUCAUGACUGGGGUGAAGUCGUAACAAGGUAACCGUA